rnacentral:piRNA from 1 species
UGCUCAAGCAACAGGUCGCCGGCUGGA